rnacentral:tRNA from 1 species
CCCUGGUUAGCUCAGUUGAUAUAGCGCUCCACUGGAAAUGGAGAGGUCCCGGGUUCGAUACCCGGACCAGGCG